AUUGAACGCUGGCGGCAUGCCUUACACAUGCAAGUCGAACGGUAACAGGUCUUCGGAUGCUGACGAGUGGCGAACGGGUGAGUAAUACAUCGGAACGUGCCCGAGAGUGGGGGAUAACGAAGCGAAAGCUUUGCUAAUACCGCAUACGAUCUCAGGAUGAAAGCAGGGGACCGCAAGGCCUUGCGCUCACGGAGCGGCCGAUGGCAGAUUAGGUAGUUGGUGGGACAAAAGCUUACCAAGCAGACGAUCUGUAGCUGGUCUGAGAGGACGGCCAGCCACCCUUGGAGUGAGACAGGGCCCAGACUCCUGCGGGAGGCAGCAGUGGGGAAUUUUGGACAAUGGGCGCAAGCCUGCUCCAGCCAUGCCGCGUGCAGGAUGAAGGCCUUCGGGUUGUAAACUGCUUUUGUACGGAACGAAAAGACUCCUUCUAAUAAAGGGGGUCCAUGACGGUACCGUAAGAAUAAGCACCGGCUAACUACGUGCCAGCCGCCGCCGUAAUAC
rnacentral:rRNA from 1 species